rnacentral:rRNA from 1 species
AUGGAAUCUGACAAUUCCAAAGUCUUCGAAGGCUUUAGGAGAGGAGACUUGUAUAUUGUUGAUUUCUCUACAGGACCACAACCGGCCGUAUGCCUACUUGCAAAAGCUUCAGAAGGCUGGCUAUGGCAUCGACGACUUGGUCGUGCUGGCAUGAGAAAUCUGCACACGCUUGCGAAGAAGAAGCAUGUCAUUGGCAUUGUGAAUGUCAAAUUCCUCAAGGAUCAUUUGUGCGAAGCCUGUAAAUCUAGAAAGAUGACCAAGGCCAAACAUCCAGCAAAGACUAUCAUGACUAUCACUCGACCAUUUGAAAUGCUUCACAUGGAUCUCUUUGGUCCU